CCCCCACGCGUGACCCAUUCACACAAACAACGCGAGGCCGCGCCCUGAUAGGCGGAGGCGGUUGUCAAUCACGCGGGAUAUUCAUGAGGGUGGUGGGCGCGGCCUGCGCUGCCUGCGUUCUGAUUGGUUGACGGGUGCGUCUGUCAGAGCCGUUACCAGGGUGGGGCGCGGCUGUGGAGUAAAUGGCGGGCAUGAUGGUCACCGUGGUAACCGAGGGCGGGAACACAGCUGUUUCCUCCAUGCGCACUGCUGAUAGGCUAAAAAUCCCGUCAAUCAACGCGGCAGGAGCAGAGGGGCGGGAGCGGCAUCAGAGAUGAAUUGUGAUAGGUUAAGCCGGCUGUCAAUCGAUCCCAAAGCCCGGCGAGCGCCUUUCCUAUUGGCUGUGGAUGCGCCUCGGCGGCCGGGCCGCGCGGGCGGCGGAAGCGGAAGCGGCCGGCGGAGCCGCGGCGGGAGGGAUGAAAGCGGCUCCGGGGCGGCGGCGGCGGCGGCUCCCGGUACUGCCCGUGCUGCUGCUCCUGUUCCUGCCCUUCCUGCCCCUGCGAGCUGCAGAUGCCAUCAUCCCGCUGCAGGAGGGGCACAACUCCCAGUACAGGGAAUCCCUGCGCUUCUGCUACAACAACACACGCGCCCCGCGAUGGAACGACGUCUGGACCAGGACACAGAUCCGCGUCAACGGCAGCCGCAUGUUCCGCGUCACGCAGGUGGACAGCGAGGAGGAGCUGGAGAAGUUCAGCGUGUGGAAUGUGGUCUUCUCCUUCCUGAGGGGCAAGCUCAACGACACCAGCAUCGACGUGGAUCUCUACAGCAACAAAACCUGCCUCAAGGUCGAGCUGCUGGAGCCCGGCACCACCUACUCCGUCGUCCUCUUCCGACGUUUUGACCCUAAGCUGUUCCUUGUUUUCUUCCUGGGCCUGCUGUUGUUUUUCUGUGGGGACACGCUGAGCAGGAGCCAAAUCUUCUACUACUCAGCUGGGAUCAGUGUUGGCUUGUUGGCCUCGCUGCUUGUCCUUGUCUACAUGAUGUCCAAAGUCAUGCCCAAGAGAAGCCCUGUAUACUUCCUGCUGGUUGGAGGUUGGUCCUUUUCCCUGUACCUGCUUCAGCUGAUCUUCAAGAACCUGCAGGAGAUCUGCAAGUCCUACUGGCAGUACCUGUUAGGUUACCUGCUCUUGGUGGGCCUCCUGAGCUUCGCCGUGUGCUACAGGUACGGCCCCUUGGAGAACGAGCGCAGCAUCAACCUCCUGUCCUGGGCCCUGCAGUUCCUGGGGCUGCUGCUGAUGUACUCGGGCAUCCAGAUCCACCCCAUCGCCCUGGGCCUGGUGCUCCUGGCUGUCUGCACCAAGAACCUGGAUUACCCCUUGCAGUGGGCCUUCGCUGCCUACCGCAGGAAGGUGCAGCGUUUCAAGCUGGGCCCCACCCCUCCUCGGCUGCUGACAGAGGAGGAAUUUCAGCUCCAGGGCGAGGUGGAGACCCGCAAGGCCCUGGCAGAGCUGCGGAGCUUCUGCCGGAGCCCCGAAUUCUCUGCCUGGACCACGGUGUCCCGCAUCCAGUCUCCCAAAAGGUUUGCUGACUUUGUGGGUGGUGCUUCCCACGUCACCCCCAACGAGGUGUCAGCCCACGAGCGGGAGUUUGGCCUGGAAAGCCUCUGCAUUGAAGAGCAGCUCUUCGAGGAGGAUGAUGACGACGACGAUGAGGAAGAGGAGGAAAACAUCAGUGACUCCUCUGGUGGGAAUCACAAGAGUGAUUCCCUGCCCCACAACCAUGUGGAUGUCCAGUGAGGUCAGCUGUCCUGAGCUGGCCAAGGAGCAGAACCAGUGCUGGGCAGCUCCAGGUGCCUGAGGGUGACACACACCAGAGGAACUUUGGACCUGUCCCGCUGGUACCUGCGUGCUCAGCACCUGCCUGGAGCCAUGGUGAGGGAGCUGCCAGUGGCCUGCUCCUCCUCCUCCUGGUACAAAUAUCCCAGAGGGCUCCAGCUGGUCGGGCCACACCUCUGCCUUGGCUUCAAUCCCGUGUGGAUACCAAAAACUCCGGCGUUUCCUCGAUGGAGCUGUGGAGCCUCGGGGUCUGCUGGCUGCCCCUGGAUGUGGUGUUGGGGUAAAGGCCAUGCUCAGCCCCCUCUCGCCAUGCCAGAGCUGAGGAUGAGUGUGGAUGUUCUUCCUCCCCGCCUCACUGCCCUUCUCCUGCUGUUACUUCUCUCCCAGUGGGUGUGGGCAGGGACUGAGGGUGACCCCACUGGAACAUCAGAACUCUGGGGAGCUCUACCAAAGCCCAAAGCUGGAGGGGACACCCCAGUCUAUGCAACUUCCUAAGCAAUAAUGCUGCCCUCACUCCUCACAGUGUCUCAGCUGCUCUGGGGAUGCCCAGCCCAGCCCCUACCUCACCUGGAGCUUCUGCCAUCCGUUUGUCCCAGUCCCAGGUCUGUCCCUGUCCCAGGUGUGCUCCCCAGCCCUUGCUGUGCUUUCCUCCCUGUUCAGGUGUGAGCAGACUCUGUUACUUCGUCUCCCCCUGCCUCACCGUGGUGGAUGACUGAUUAUAUUUUUAAUAAAGAUGUAUUUUUUA